CUUUGGGGAGGGUCAGGUGUUCCACAUUGACUCCUAUGAAAUGACCGCAAUCUGGAAGGGCAAAUACAGAGGCCUGAGAAAAAUCAAUCCAGAAGAUUAUAAUAUGAUGAUUGGGGCCAUAUGUACAAAUGACCAUUGGACACUGGCAGUCAUUUGUCCAAGGGGGCGGAAAUCAAUUUAUGUAGAUCCACUUGGUGCAACAGAUGGUGCACUCAAGUCAUGUGGCAAUGUCAGCAGGUUGUAG
rnacentral:lncRNA from 1 species